rnacentral:rRNA from 1 species
AACGAACGCUGGCGGCAGGCUUAACACAUGCAAGUCGAGCGCCCCGCAAUGGGAGCGGCAGACGGGUGAGUAACGCGUGGGAAUCUACCCAUCUCUACGGAAUAACGCAUGGAAACGUGUGCUAAUACCGUAUACGUCCUACGGGAGAAAGAUUUAUCGGAGAUGGAUGAGCCCGCGUUGGAUUAGCUAGUUGGUGGGGUAAAGGCCUACCAAGGCGACGAUCCAUAGCUGGUCUGAGAGGAUGAUCAGCCACACUGGGACUGAGACACGGCCCAGACUCCUACGGGAGGCAGCAGUGGGGAAUAUUGGACAAUGGGCGCAAGCCUGAUCCAGCCAUGCCGCGUGAGUGAUGAAGGCCCUAGGGUUGUAAAGCUCUUUCACCGGUGAAGAUAAUGACGGUAACCGGAGAAGAAGCCCCGGCUAACUUCGUGCCAGCAGCCGCGGUAAGAC